GUAAGUGGGGCUCCUCCUAAGGAUAGCGCAACCUUCCCCAAAGCACCACGUCCUGGAACAUCCCUUUGUCAGACACGGGGUCUAUGGGAGGACAUCUUACAUUAAAGGCGGUCCUCUCCUUGCGGGGACUGGAGAAUGCCACCGAGAGGAAGAGAGCCAUGGAGGAUGUGGGGCUGCGCUGCUGCAGUUUGGACCAGAAUUUCCCAGAUUCUCAGAAGAUGGCUACUGGAAUAUUGAAAAUGUUCUCUCACACACACACUCUCCACUGGCAGAGAUUUGUAGUGAACAGGCCUAUCCUGUUCAUGGAUCGGGUAAAACUAGGAACCUGCUUUCCAGGUCGGAUGUCCCUCACCAGACUGACAGACGUGGACUAGUGGCUUCUUUUUCACCUCUUUCUAAUUGGAUCACCCGGGGAACUGUGCACGCGCAGAUGUAGCAUACUGUCCAUGAAAACCUGGGUAGCUAGGAGAGGGUGUAUUAUCUAUGCAUCUUGUUUGCAAACACUGGGGCU
ensembl:lincRNA Gm33222 predicted gene, 33222